rnacentral:rRNA from 1 species
AGAUUUUAAUUGAGUGCUAAGAGAAUGGAAUUACAGAGAAAUUCUUUCUUGAAUUCAAAAAUUGAAGUUAUUUUUGUAUGUGAAGAAACAACAAUAAAAAUUAAGGACAAGAAGACCCUAAGAAUUUUUUGAAAUUUAAGGAAUUAUUUUCUAUAAAUUUCUUUAAUUGGGGCGAUUAAUAAAAAUUUCAAACUUUAUUAAAAUAAAACGAACCAAUAAUAUUGGUAAUAUGAAAAAAAUACUCUAGGGAUAACAGCGUAAUAAUUUUAGAUAGUUCUUAUAGACAAAAUAGUUUGCGACCUCGAUGUUGGAUUAGGAUACUUUUUUAAUGAAGAAGUUAAAAAAAGAAGUUUGUUCAACUUUUAAUUUCCU